AUUAUUAUCGUUUAAAAAAGUAUAAUGUUUUAAUAUUAUUGUUGUAAGACAAUUUUUAAUAUUGUUUAUGUUGUAUAAUACAUAUGGAUAUUUUUAUGAAAUAAAUGAUUAUUUUGGAUUUGAAUUAUUAGAUUUUUAAAAUUUUAUAUAUUAUUUUUAUUGGUUUUUUUAAUGUAUUUUAUUUUAAAAUUUAUAUUCUAGAAAUUAAUCAUAUAUAAUUCAAAUUUAUUAAAAAUA
rnacentral:tRNA from 1 species